UAGACAGCUCUAUACAUGACAGUCUACAAAAAAGAUAUAAACUUACUUUGAAUAGUUGACGGAAGAUCAGAGCAAUUUUCUGCAUUUUUUUUCCUUUGUCUUAACUCAGUUUUCUUUUCAUAACAUGUACAGCUACUGAUACUUGUCUAAAAAUGAAUAGAAAAAAAGUCAUUCUAAAUGCCAAACCAAAAGUAUGAAAUUUACUUGAUGGAUAUUUAAUUAUUGUGCCAGUCUUCAAAGUAUGAAGUGCAAAGAUGUCUGUGUUCCAUGGCUUAUUUAGAAAAAGGAGAUGCAUAUCAGGACUUUGUUCAGUUUUGACCUCACACUCAAAACCAAGAGGUUCCUUGAAGAACUUCUACAGCAGAAAUUUGGAAAUGGCCUGUCACUUCUGCUCAUAAAAUAUCAAGCACAUUCAUUUUGUGUCUAUGCUUGUAAAGGAGUUUGUUGUUAUUGGAGCCCCCUCUGAAUUUACAAUUUUCUGUUAUCCACCAAAAAGUUAUUUUGACAAUAUUGCAAUAGAGUUCUUUAAUUUCUGAUAUUCUUAUAAAGUCAUUUACAAUAUUCAUGAGAAAGGUCUUUAUUUUUUUUUUCUUUUCUUUUCUUUCCUUUUUUUUUUUUUUUUUUUUUUUUUUAAGGAUAAUAUUAUGAUUCUACAAGUAAUGAAGUUAUGUUAAAUGGGCAAUUAAAUCAUUCUUGUUGAAAACCAUUGACAUACUGGGGUUUGGCAUUAUAAAAGUUUGAAUGAUGUGACUCAUUCUUAAUGGGAGACUGACAUUUGCUGUAUCUGUGGAGUUCCUUAGUGCCAGCCAUCUACAAAAUGAGAAUGCCAGCUGCUGUAUGACAUUUUGGUACAAUUUAGCUGAUUUAGCUGUUACUUGAAACACCUAUAAAAGACAAAAGUCUAAAAAGCUUUCAUAAUCAUAAUAAAGAGAAAAAAUACUAA